ACGGCAACAGCACGGACCGUCAACAUUUCUCUCGAAGAAUAUUUGACGGACCUUGAUGCUCGCAUACAUGCACGUUUCAUGUGCUUACAAUGCGCUUGACGUUUGUUGAAUUUGUAUUUGCGGGACAUGUUGCACUCACAAUUAAUUUUAGUUAAGUAACCAUGUAUUAUAACGAGAACAAAAAAAAGCGGAAAAACUUUCAUCUAAUGAAGAAUACUUCCACAAAGUGAUUACUAAGUUUAAUUGCAAUAUUCUUAGGCAAUUCAAGUGUAAUUAUAUUAGCUAAAUGGUGAUACACAAUCGUUAAAAGGAAGAUCAAAUUUCUCAACGAACACAUUUGUCCGUGGUGGAUGUCAGAAACGGAAGUGGCAUUGCGGUAUCAUGCAAUGUGUGAAAAAGUUAUCAAAGGAUAUCACGAUACGAAUCAUUGCGGAUGUGUGGACAUUUUGUGGUCAGUUGAAGCGGCAGAAGACGGUGGCGCCGCAAUCGCAAAGUUUCAGGCACCAAAAAAUGUUUGAAGCACCAAAAUAUUUUUUGGUGCCUCCCGUUUUUGGUGCCUAACUUCACGCCGGUCAGAAGACGAGCGACAAUUGAGGGGAUACAGAUACUGAAAACCUACUCCAAAAUGCACCCUGCUACACCUAAUUCGAAUCCAAGGAACAUUUUCAACGUAGAAACAGAAUCUAAUCACCGUUAGGAGGCAAGAUCGGUCAGGAUCCCGUAAUCAACGAAAUUUGCUCUGAUGAUGACGUUCCCAAUGAGGUGAGCAUUGACAGUAUUUUGCAACCAGUUAUCCCGAUUCGAUGCUCUGAAGAACAUAAAAGGAGCAAAUUCAGUAUCUGAAAGAAAUUAGUCGGCUCUUGUUGGAAAAUCUUUACUUGAUGCCAAUUCGGGUAGCCACUAUUACUCCAAGGUCCCGGCCAUGAAAAAAAAUAUUACUUCCACACUACCAGCGGUUCAAAUAGAGUAAGUCGAUUGCGUCGAUCAUUUCACUCAUUGGAUACGGACGAGUGGCUGCAGCAACAGGUUCUUUUGCUCAACAGAUGGGAUUAUUUGGUAAAGGAGUUGAUUGCAAAGCUAACCUUUGUCGCCAGCCAAUAAGUCACAAAACAACCGCAAAAGGUGCCAACGACAAAGAAAAAACAAAAUACAGCAGAAAACUUCAAUAGCUAUAGAAGUCCGUCAUUUGCCAAUGCCGGAUCUGAUCCCUAUGCAAGUACUUGGCAUUGAUCCACGACUGAUUGGUGCAGCCAUAGUUACACCAAAAGCAGUGACAUUCACAGCAUAAACCGCCACAGUUACAACCAAAGCUUUUGGACAGGGAUUAGCCUGAUCUCUACUAUAGUUAGGCCUUCUCUUCGAGUAGACAUAGGUUUAGCACUUUGAGGAUCCACAUGUAAGGCACGUUGGACAUCUUUACGGGACCAGCUAAGAAAAGUCGUAAAAAAAAAGUCUACUAAGAGCGGACAGGCAGCAAAAAACACUUUGAAAUGGAGAUAUGAAGACUGUAUGGCAUUUGUGCUUCCAUUUUUUAAAGAACGAGAAACAGUUUGCAACAUUCCGACAAGUGAAGCCCCGAUCGUUCAGGAAGAUGGGGUUGACGAGGUUUGCGAAGAGAACGUAUAUGAAAACAUUGUUGAAGAUGUUAUCGAUUCAACACCUACGACAUCCAAACGAAAUCUGGGAGUACCAUCUGACAGUCGUAAAAAACAGCGCAAACAAGAAACAGCAUCAUCGACUCUUCUGAAAUAUUUCAUCGAAUCAGACCAGGCGUCCUCAAGUUCGAAAAAAGCAGAUCCGAUGGACGUAUUUUUUCAAGGGCUGUGUGCGACGGUAAAGACGUUCAGUCCCGCCAAUCAGCACAUUGCAAAGAACAGACUUUUCCAAACAGUAUCGGAUAUGGAAUGGAAUGAAAUCCAAUCCAAACCGAAUUUUACCAGAUUCGUUGGAUGCAACUGCAUCAUCUCAAAACGACAAUAUGACAGGCAUUGUAGCCUUUUAUAACGAGUUCAAUCCAGAGAACUAAAUUAGAGACUUCCGUCUUACGAGAGAAAAAUAAGAACAGAAAUCUUUUCACAGAAAAAUCUUAAGAAAUAUAUGGCACAAUUCACCAUAAAAUAGUUAGUACUUUAUACCGUCUGGGAGUGGUCGGCACCUCCGCAUACAUACCACAACCUGUUCAAGCUCGGCGGGUGUAAUAGAUGAA